rnacentral:lncRNA from 10 species
AUCCUUUGUAAAAGAGCAAUGCCCAGGCUCCACCCCCAGGGAUUCUAAUGUAAUUGGACCAAGGUGGAUCCCAGGUAUCAGUAUGGUUUGAAAGCUCUGCAGUUGAUUCUCAUGUACAGCCAAGUUUGAGAACCACUGACUGAAACAAACCUAAAUGGGUAUUUCAUUUUUCUGAAUUCAGCUGCCGCUAUCACACCAGUCGACCCAAGAAAAAGUGAAUGAAAACUUUGAUCAUCUCAUCUCCAUUGUGCUAUGUACUCCAUCCCAAAUCUCCUGAUGUGGAAUAUCAUCCUCACAUGUCUUCUUACAUAAUGGGCCAGGGUUAUGCGAUGAAAAGUCAGUAGAAGUAGGUGAGUAUCAAUACUUCACAUUUUUUUCCACCAUCAAUAAUGUAUUUCUCUUUUGUAUACCACAAGUGGGUCAACUGGGACUGGAUAGAGAAAUCAAACAUGUGUAAUUUAUCAAUAGACAGACCGGAAAACAUAUCUGGAAAAUGUGUACUUAAGUGUUGUGGUAAUUGGUGAAGAGGCCAGCGAUGAUGCUACCAUUUUUCUGGCAUUUGCUG